rnacentral:rRNA from 1 species
GGCCCCUACGUAGAGCUUGAUCUUGUGAUCGGAGAUAUGGAAGAUUGCUCCCUGAUGUUAGCGGCGGACGGGUGAGUAACACGUGGGUAACCUGCCUGUAAGACUGGGAUAACUCCGGGAAACCGGGGCUAAUACCGGAUGGUUGUUUGAACCGCAUGGUUCAAACAUAAAAGGUGGCUUCUUUUACCACUUACAGAUGGACCCGCGGUGCAUUAGCUAUUUGGUGAGGUAUUGGUUCACCAAGGCAACGAUGCUUAACCGACCUGACAGGGUGAUCGGCCACACUGGACUGAUACCGGCCCAUACUCCUACGGGAGGCAGCACUUUGGAAUCUUCGUUAUGGACGAAAGUCUGACGGAUUCGCCGCGUGAGUGAUGAAGGUUUUCGGAUCGUAAGCUCUGUUGUUAGGGAAGAACAAGUACCGUUCGAAUAGGGCGGUACCUUGACGGUACCUAACCAGAAAUCCACGGCUACUACGUGCCACCAUCCGCUGUAAUACGUAGGUGGCAAGCGUUGUCCGGAAUUAUUGGGCGUAAAGGGCUCGCAUGCGGUAUCUUAAGUCUGAUGUGAAAGCUCCCGGCUCAACCGGGGAGGGUCAUUGGAAACUGGGGAACUUGAGUGCAGAAGAGGAGAGUGGAAUUCCACGUGUAGCGGAGAAAUGCGUAGAGAUGUGGAGGAACACCAGUGGCGAAGGCGACUCUCUGGUCUGUAACUGACGCUGAGGAGCGAAAGCGUGGGGAGCGAACAGGAUUAGAUACCCUGGUAGUCCACGCCGUAAACGAUGAGUGCUAAGUGUUAGGGGGUUUCCGCCCCUUAGUGCUGCAGCUAACGCAUUAAGCACUCCACCUGGGGAGUACGGUCGCAAGACUGAAACUCAAAGGAAUUGACGGGGGCCCGCACAAGCGGUGGAGCAUGUGGUUUAAUUCGAAGCAACGCGAAGAACCUUACCAGGUCUUGACAUCCUCUGACAAUCCUAGAGAUAGGACGUCCCCUUCGGGGGCAGAGUGACAGGUGGUGCAUGGUUGUCGUCAGCUCGUGUCGUGAGAUGUUGGGUUAAGUCCCGCAACGAGCGCAACCCUUGAUCUUAGUUGCCAGCAUUCAGUUGGGCACUUUAAGGUGACUGCCGGUGACAAACCGGAGGAAGGUGGGGAUGACGUCAAAUCAUCAUGCCCCUUAUGACCUGGGCUACACACGUGCUACAAUGGACAGAACAAAGGGCAGCGAAACCGCGAGGUUAAGCCAAUCCCACAAAUCUGUUCUCAGUUCGGAUCGCAGUCUGCAACUCGACUGCGUGAAGCUGGAAUCGCUAGUAAUCGCGGAUCAGCAUGCCGCGGUGAAUACGUUCCCGGGCCUUGUUCACCCCGCCUCUCUCACUCGUAACAAGGUAACCGUAGAGAGGAUCUGGGGUCAGUAAGUCGUAACAAGGUAGCCGUAGAGUGUUUGCCA